rnacentral:rRNA from 1 species
UUUGAUCCUGGCUCAAGAUGAACGCUGUCGGCGUGCCUAAUACAUGCAAGUCGAACGAAGAAGCAAGCUUGCUUGCUUCUUAGUGGCGAACGGGUGAGUAAUAUAUAAAUAAUCUACCAUAAUGACUGGGAUAACCAAUGGAAACGCUGGCUAAUACCGGAUAGGUAAAACGAGGGCAUCUUUGUUUUAUUAAAGUAGGGCUAUUACACAAUAUGAUGAGUUUAUGGCGCAUUAGCUAGUUGGUGAGGUAACGGCUCACCAAGGCGAUGAUGCGUACCCGACCUGAGAGGGUGACCGGCCACACUGGGACUGAGACACGGCCCACACUCCUACGGGAGGCAGCAGUAGGGAAUUUUCUGCAAUGGGCGAAAGCCUGACAGAGCAAUACCGCGUGAGGGAUGAAGACUUACUGAGUUUGUAAACCUCGGUGCCUUAAGGAAGAAGAUAUGACGGUAUUUAAGGUGGAAAGCAUCGGCUAACUCCGUGUCAGCAGCCGCGGUAAGACGGGGGAUGCAAGUGUUAUCCGGAUUUACUGGGCGUAAAGCGUCUGCAGGUGGUUUCUUAAGUCUACUGUUAAAUCUUGAGGCUUAACCUCAAAUCUGCAGUAGAAACUAGGAGACUUGAGUAUAGUAGGGGUAGAGGGAAUUUCCAGUGGAGCGGUGAAAUGCGUAGAUAUUGGAAAGAACACCGAUGGCGAAGGCACUCUACUGGGCUAUUACUGACACUCAGAGACGAAAGCUAGGGGAGCAAAUGGGAUUAGAUACCCCAGUAGUCCUAGCCGUAAACGAUGGAUACUCGAUGUUGGACGUAUCGACCCGUUCAGUAUCUUAGCUAACGCGUUAAGUAUCCCGCCUGGGGAGUACGCUCGCAAGAGUGAAACUCAAAGGAAUUGACGGGGGCCCGCACAAGCGGUGGAGGAUGUGGUUUAAUUCGAUGCAACGCGAAGAACCUUACCAGGGUUUGCUAAAAGUGUUGGUUUCCUGAAAGGGAUUCCUUAUUCCGCUUCUACAGGUGGUGCAUGGCUGUCGUCAGCUCGUGUCGUGAGAUGUUGGGUUAAGUCCCGCAACGAGCGCAACCCUUAUUUUUAGUUCUAUUGUCUAAAAAGACUGCCGGUGACAAACCGGAGGAAGGUGAGGACGACGUCAAGUCAUCAUGCCCCUUACACCCUGGGCUACACACGUCCUACAAUGGGUAAGACAAUAAGUUGCAAAUCCGCGAGGAUAAGCUAAUCUUUCAAACUUACUCCAAGUACAGAUUGCAGGCUGCAACUCGCCUGCAUGAAGGUGGAAUCGCUAGUAAUCGCUGGUCAGCUACACAGCGGUGAAUCCGUUCCCGGGCCUUGCAAUCACCGCCCGUCA